AUUGAACGCUGGCGGCAGGCCUAACACAUGCAAGUCGAGCGGCAGCGGGAAAGUAGCUUGCUACUUUUGCCGGCGAGCGGCGGACGGGUGAGUAAUGCCUGGGAAAUUGCCCAGUCGAGGGGGAUAACAGUUGGAAACGACUGCUAAUACCGCAUACGCCCUACGGGGGAAAGCAGGGGACCUUCGGGCCUUGCGCGAUUGGAUAUGCCCAGGUGGGAUUAGCUAGUUGGUGAGGUAAUGGCUCACCAAGGCGACGAUCCCUAGCUGGUCUGGGAGGAUGAACAGCCACACUGGAACUGAGACACGGUCCAGACGCCUACGGGAGGCAGCAGUGGGGAAUAUUGCACAAUGGGGGAAACCCUGAUGCAGCCAUGCCGCGUGUGUGAAGAAGGCCUUCGGGUUGUAAAGCACUUUCAGCGAGGAGGAAAGGUCAGUAGCUAAUAUCUGCUGACUGUGACGUUACUCGCAGAAGAAGCACCGGCUAACUCCGUGCCAGCCGCCGCCGUAAUAC
rnacentral:rRNA from 1 species